UAGAGACAGUGAUAUAGUUUGAUGCAGUUUGUUGUAAGAUUUCAUGUUGGUUUUCCUCCUGUCCUCCCCAAUUUUCUGAGUCACCAACAUUAUUCCAGCGUUACACAUUAUAUUAUUGAACAAUCAAGCCACAUUUAGCUAUAUUCAGUCCACAAUCAUUUUGGCACAGGUUAUACCAUUAUGAGCUCUUUUGUUGAGGUAACCAAACUAAUCACACUGAGUGCAUAUGUCUCCUCAGAGUCUGCCUUCAAUCAGUUCCAGCUGGACUGUUUGCUUUAGGCUGAAAAGCUACACGUAAUCAGUGUUUUUGUCAAAUUGAGACAUAAUUGUAAUCCUACUUGAUCUUAUAUUUUGCAUGUCUUAUUUUUAUUAUAUGCAUCUGGUUUUAGUGAGUUGCCCUGCAUGCUUUUUUUUUAUAUGGUUUUAAUUGGACUGAGUGCAUUGAACUCUAAGUGAUCAAGUGAUGGAUUAAGUGAGAACACCAGUGAGUGAUUGGAUGACACACACCCCUUCACUCAGGAGUAGCGGACUGGACUGAGUUCCUUCAUGUCUUUUUUGGCCGAGUGUGAGAGGUGAAGCAGGUGGAGAAGGAAGGAGAGACUUGGAGACACGGGGAAGCGACGGAUGUGAGAGGGUUCGCUCCACAGAAUAUCGGUUGCAGUUGGUCAUGGGAACCUGAGGACGGAGACUACUCGUUGAAACAGCGUGGAUACACCGGAGAAAAGGUGCAGCUGGGACGAGGAAGCAGACAGACCACAGCAGGACGAGCCAGGCGUCGAUGACCGAGACUUGGUUCAACGCGCACUAUUACGAUAACGGCUCCGUAUACAAAGUCCCGGAAGAAGGGGUGUGACUGGAGCAGAGGAGCCGACAGCUGCAGGACUUCCUCCGCUAUUUUAAUAACGUGGGCGCUGGACGGAAAAUGACAAAUUCGUCGGUCUUAAAAGAGACUUGCGCUGCACUUAGCCCCACUCUGCGCUGUGCGUAAGACAGGGCCCACAGUAUUAUACUUAGUCAUUCCAAUAUUUAUUUUGGUCUACCUAUGAGCACUUCCAUGUCCAUGAUGGACUACAGCUGUCUUUCUUAUCACUGUCAUAAUAUCCUCUCAAAUCCCACUGUUUAUUGUACUUGCUGUAAAAGUGUCCACCUGAGAUGCACACCUAUCAAUGAAUAUAAAUGAAUGGAGCGCUUGGACUUGUUCUAAGCAUGUCUCCAUAUUUCCUUAUCAUGACAUUGAUGGUGAUGAUGAUGACUUGAUUGGUCUUUUUUAUGGAGCUGUUUGACCCUGAUUCAAAAUUUUUUUAGCUCUUUGACUUCUGAGUGUUUAUCCUGUGACCAUUUCAGUAUUAAUGGAUUUAAUAGUUUAUUACUUGAUAUGCCAAAGCUCCGUUCAAAGUAGUUCUCAACUUUUCAUUUAAAUAUUUGUAGUCUCUCCAAAUUGUUGUUGGGAUUAAAUCAGUGCACUGUCA